rnacentral:miRNA from 1 species
CAAAUUCGUAUCUAGGGGAG